rnacentral:ncRNA from 1 species
ACACUCUGGAGAGUCUCUAGGAUAUUUCUAAGGGCGCCGAAGGUGUAAGGACAUGAGUCCCAAUCUCUCAGGCAAAAGGACAGAGCA